GUAGGUAGCUUAACCGUAAGGAGGGCGCUUACCACGGUAGGAUUCGUGACUGGGGUGAAGUCGUAACAAGGUAGCCGUAUCGGAAGGUGCGGCUGGAUCACCUCCUUUCUAGA
rnacentral:rRNA from 2 species